GAUGAACGCUGGCGGUAUGCUUAACACAUGCAAGUCGAACGGACUCUUCGGAGUUAGUGGCGGACGGGUGAGUAACGCGUGAGAAUCUGGCUUUGGGUUCGGGACAACCACUGGAAACGGUGGCUAAUACCGGAUGUGCCGAGAGGUAAAAGAGAAAUUGCCUGAAGAUGAGCUCGCGUCUGAUUAGCUAGUUGGUGAGGUAAAGGCUCACCAAGGCAGCGAUCAGUAGCUGGUCUGAGAGGAUGACCAGCCACACUGGGACUGAGACACGGCCCAGACUCCUACGGGAGGCAGCAGUGGGGAAUUUUCCGCAAUGGGCGAAAGCCUGACGGAGCAAUACCGCGUGAGGGAAGAAGGCUCUUGGGUUGUAAACCUCUUUUCUUAGGGAAGAACAAAAUGACGGUACCGAAGGAAUCAGCAUCGGCUAACUCCGU
rnacentral:rRNA from 1 species